CACGUAGGGUGCAAGCGUUGUCCGGAAUUAUUGGGCGUAAAGGGCUCGUAGGCGGUCCGUCACGUCGGGAGUGAAAACUCGGGGCUCAACCCCGAGCCUGCUUCCGAUACGGGCGGACUAGAGGUAGGUAGGGGAGAACGGAAUUCCUGGUGUAGCGGUGGAAUGCGCAGAUAUCAGGAGGAACACCGGUGGCGAAGGCGGUUCUCUGGGACGGUACUGACGCUGAGACGCGAAAGCGUGGGGAGCGAACAGG
rnacentral:rRNA from 1 species